GGCGGCGGCGGCGACAGCGACGACGACGAUCACGACGACAGACAGCGACGGACUAUGCGUCGUAAGAGAACCGGCUGUGCGGAACGGGACAAAUAUAUGCAGCACUGACGGAAGCCUCGAUGCAAUUUUGAGAAAAGGGUGAAAAGUCGCGGCAUACCACGAUGGAAUACUCAUCGUUUUUCACAAACCGGAUUCCAAGAGUCUACCACCGAAAAUGGCCGGCUCGCGUGCAUAUACAUGGAUAUACGUAGGAUUGUACCGGGGAAUCUCUCGAAUCGAGAAACAGACGUAACGCCACUGCCGCCGCGCGCGCGAACGAAGAGGAAGAAGAGCAGAUAGCGCGAGAAGGACGGCUAAAAACCCCCUCGAGGUUUCGACUCAGCAUCCCACGAUAUCUACAUCUAUUUUUGGCCACGGUCAGCUGUAGUUGCACGGCAUUAGCAUAAUGAAGACGCGGUUCGUCUCCUCUCCUCUCUUCUUCUAUCCUUCUCUCUAUACUGUGUACUAUCUACCUUCUAUUUCUCUCUCUCUAUCUAUCUAUCUCUUUCUCUCUUCGUCUAUCUAUCCAUCUCUUUUGCGUGUACUGGCUCGUUGUCGUCUCUCCAUCCCUUUCUAUUCCCCUCUCUUCGCUCUUCUCUCAACUCUCUUUUUCCUUCUCUUUCUACCUCUCUCUCUCUCUCUCUCUCUCCUCUUCAUGAGCACCGAGUGGUUCGGUUACUCCGUUGACACCGUUGCUGCUACUGCUACGAGUAAAUGCGAGAGUGGCCGGUGCCGGAUGGACCGAGAGGGAAUAUAAAGGCCAUGGGAUGAGCGGACGAGCGAAUGAGAGAGAAACAGAGUGAGAGAGAGAGAGAGAGAGAGAGAGAGAGAGACAGAGAAAAAAAGAGAAAGAAAGAACGACGAGAGACUGGAUGAAAAAGCAAAGAGAGGGAGGGUAACGCAAAAGGGGAUGAGAGUUAGCUGUGUAUCUUUCGCGUGAAAAUUUACACGGUUAACCUCCCUGUAACAAGACGAAGUCUGAUCGUCAUCCUUCGAUGCGUAUCUCUUGAAAUUGAGAAGAACGCAUCGAUAGAUGCGUGCAACGGAAAAUUGAUCGAUGAUCGCUCACGUUUUACACGUGUGUCCUGUAAUUUCGGUGAUACUUGAAAAGAAAUAAUUCGAUGUAUAAUACUUGGAAAUAUUUAUCUUCUUAAGCAUCGUGAUAAUUAACAUCUCGUUGGAUUACGAGUAUAAGUAGAAGUGACGAUUAAAUAGGGAAGAAAUAAAAGGGUGUUAUUUAUUGAACAUAAACAUGGUCGUCUCGAGACGUGCGUGCACGGGGUGUGCACACACAACCUGUACCUCUUAUACUUUCUCGUUUCUCGCUCGGAAGUUCGACAAGAGAAGGCAACGCGAAGGUCGUCCAAGAGAAGGAGUACCUUAUAUACAUAUAUACAUACAUACGUAUAUAUAUAUAUAUAUAUGUAUAUAUAUAUAUAGUAAAAUGGAAGGAGAAGAUCGUAUGGAUGGUGAAAGGAGCGUAAAAGGGAGAAGCGAAGGGAAACCCGCUCGGAAGAGCGAUGCAUGCCGGCGCGUAGACUAUUUUAAGUUAAGGGAAGCAAUGUGUUCGAAGGGGGAAUGCCUUUCCUUUUCUUUUUUCUUUUUCAUUCUUUUUUUCCCUCUUCUUUUGCUUCUUCUUUUCCUUUUCCUUUUCUUCUCGUUUCGUUACGUCCUCCUUUCGUUUCUCCGACAAACGAAUGAGAGAAGAGGAAUCACCACCGGUUGGUUACUUUUGUUAAUAUCAUCGAGGAAAGGUCGUAAAAACGAUGAAGACGAGGAAAGAAGAUCCAUUCUAAUCCAUAACGAGAGAAGAAAAUCAACGCGAGAGAACUACUGUACCGAGAAUACAACACAAGAUAACAAGCUCGGCUACGAGCGAAGAGGAGAACCGGCCACGCUAAGCUGACUUUCUUGAAUAACUCAAGACGCUACUCAACUCCGCAAAUGCUCGCCAUACGCGGAUAUUCCUUCUUCUUCUUCCUCGCACGAAUCCUCCUAUCUCUCUGCUAUACCUUCAUGGUUAUAUUCUCGUCUCUUUUGCCACAGGAACAGCCUAAUCUCUAUCUCUCUAUCUCCGUCGCUAUCUUUCUCUCUCUAUAUAUACAAGAGAGAGGAAGAUUUCGCGCUUAGAGUCCUCCAACCUUUCACGCCUCUCAUAGUCCGACUAUGUAUGUCUCUUGGGAUACUAAGAAGAUAGUUUGUCUUCUCUCUCUCUCUCUCUCUCCCUCUACCUAUAUUUUCUCUCUCUCUUUCCAUCUUGAAAGCUUACGUCGAAUAAUCGCAGAUCAACAUCCCGAUACAAAGAUGUAGUG